UUCUGAUGGCUGUGUGUUUAUUCCUGUUCCUGCUAUUGCAGCAUGUUCACUCUCUGCCUUUGUCGCAAGUGGUUAUGGGAAAUGUAGGCAGUGAUAGUAACAGUGAUAGUGGGGAGAUUUUUCCUGUCCUCCAUUCGCUACUUUCUCAGAUUCAGAUGCAGAUUCAGAAUUCCCGCCCUAUCGCUCCGGUUCAAAAUGCUGGAAUUCCGAAUGUGCCACAGGUUCCUGUUGCUGUGAUCCCGAUCCCAGCCAAUAAUCCUGUUUUUCACUCACAACCCCUUGUUCCUGCCCUGCCCGGGGAACUGCUGAAUCCAUUUUACCCUGAAAUACACCCCUUCUCUCUGCCUUCACCUGCUCUUGGUCCUAUUGAUCCAGUUUUCUCCCAACCAGGACUGUCCCAGCCUCUGCCUAACCCUUUCCCCCAACUGACUGGGCUUCCUUCUCCUUUUGAUCCCCUCCCACCCUAUUUCUUCCCCCCUCAAUCAGGGCUACCUUCGUUUGUAGCCCCUCCCCCUCUUCCCAUUCCAGGAAGUCCCUUCCCCUCUUUGACCAAUCCGCUUACUUCUUCACUGUAUGGCAACCAGCCAAUUACGAUUGAUGUUCGGGAGCUUCUAAGGCAACAAGGUUCCACCCCUGGUAAUCGAUCAGCCAUAGUCAAUAUUCAGGAUAUUAUAAGGCAACAAGGAUCCAUCCCUGGCAACCAGCCAAUUUCAAUUGAUGUUCGGGAACUUCUACGGCAACAACGAGCCAACCCUGGAAAUCAAGGAGAGUUUGUCAUACCACCAAUGAUAAAUGGUGUAUCACAGGGAUCACCAUUCCAAAUGCCAAACAUUCCUUCUCUGCAGCUGCAGCAAGCAGAUGACGCACCCACUGAGCCAGCCAAUCAGGAAGCAGAUGGCAAUAUGGAUACAGAGCAGGAGUUUGCACCAUGCUCCACAGCAGAGUGUCAUGAAACUGGGCAGCCAUUUGAGGGCAAUACACUUCCUUAUUAGUGACUCACUGAGCCAGACUGCAGUACUUUUGUGUGUUUGAUGAAUGGUGAGAUUGUACUAAUUUUCUUGAAAAAUAUGUUAUGAAUCUGAUUCGUAUCUCUGUACUUGUUAACUAUAUAAAUAUAUGUUGAAG
rnacentral:lncRNA from 1 species